rnacentral:SRP_RNA from 1 species
UUUGGUCGCGCGGUGCGAAGGCGUGAACCUGGUCAGGCGGGAAACCGAGCAGCCAUAAGCGAUCUGAGCAGGUGCGCGACCUCUAUA